rnacentral:lncRNA from 1 species
GCACAUGCGCAGAAUCAUCGUGGUGCACGGCUCUCCCUUUGCUUCUUCGGUUGCAGUCCUCUUGCUUCUUGCGCGUGCGUGUAGCGCUUUUGCAAAGCCGCGGAGGUGAAGUGAACUUAGAGGCUGUGGGGCCGAGGGGUCCUCUUAUAGCUACCAGCCCACAGGCAUUUAGUCUACGUUGGAGGUAAACAAAUACGGGUCCAGCUUAGGAGAAAAGAAAAACGUCUUACAGCCAGUGUCUAAACUCCAAACAACGGAAUGUAUCAAUGAGACCUUGUAUAUGGAUACACGUGCAUUUAAAACCGCCCUGCCGGCUUGUAGAGCUCUUGCCGUUCUCCAGCGCUUUACAGGGGUUAUCGCACUUCAGCCUCGGAACAACUUUACCAGAUGAGGACACCUGAGGCUCAGAUUAAGAAAUCUGCCCCAAAGUCUUAGAACUGGUAUUCUCCACUGGUUGAAUGCAAAUGGAAGCCAGAGGAAAAGGGAACCCUUGACACAGUUUUCAUAUAGAUUGGCCUCCAGAGCAGACAGCAGUUGCUCUGGCUAUAUCAAAUAAAAGUGUCAAGAGUGAGCAUCCUUGCCUUGUGCUGAAUCACAAAGGAAUACCUUUCAGUUUUUCUCCAUUGAUUAUGAUAGCAGUGGGCUUUUCACAGUGGGCUUUAUUGUGUUGAGGUACCCUAAUGACAAGUUCACCCCAGUGUUUUCUGAGGAGUCUACCUGGAAAUGAGAACCAUCUGUCCUUCCUAUAGUAGUUCUUCUCAGAAUGCCGACUCUAUGCUAAUGGAGGAGGUCUGAUGGCCGGGAGGACAGGAAGAAGGAACCCACAAUAAAGCAAAAGUCGCGUUUAACUCUGUCCUCACCAUUCCUCUCCUGGGCCUGUCCUAAACUGGAAGCUGGGGGAGGAUGGAGUGCUGGAAUGCUGCAGAAGUCUCAUGGGAGGGCGCCUGGUGUUCACCACAUGUGUACCCUGUUGCACGACCAG